rnacentral:tRNA from 1 species
GGAGGGAUCGCCUAGUCCGGCCUAUGGCGCCGCACUCGAAAUGCGGUGAGCCUUCGGGCUCCGUGGGUUCAAAUCCCACUCCCUCCGCCA